rnacentral:lncRNA from 1 species
AAGGCACUAGCACACUGGAAGACACUCACCGGUUUCUCUUCCCCUAGGCUGUGAAACACAGAUGGCAGUUGCUUGUGCUUGCACCAGGGAAAUCUGAACACUUGGCUUAUGAGACAAAUAUCCAAGCAAGUCUCCACCUCUGCAUCCCCUUCCUACAAGCUGGACAACAGGCAGCAUGUGCCGUGUCUGCACAGAGGAGGCACACAACCAGCUACUUGGCCCACCGGCAAGCCAAACCAAACAGGCAGGAUCUUUGCAAGUGGGUUCAUCUCCACACUUCACACAGGUGAUGAGCAUCUAGGACUCAGCACCAAAGCCAACCAGUCCAGGGCAGGAGCUUUCCUCCAGCACCGCCAUACUCAUGUUGAUCAGUCCACACCGGUGAUGUAUUUUUCUCCAUGUGCCUGGCAGCUUAGCUCCUCGUUCUUCUUGUGGCAUGUGUGAGGAGUCUUUCCAAAACUCUGCCAGCUGCUGCAGAACUUAUUGGCCCGUUGAGAAAGACCAAAGGAAUGGUGCUGGGAGGCUGUCUGUGUCCAGGUUGUCCAUUCAGCUAUGAAGCUGGUGGGG